AACCCCGUGGCUCAGUGGUUAGAGUGUUGGACUUCUGAUCAAAAGGCUGCGGGGUCG
rnacentral:tRNA from 1 species